rnacentral:rRNA from 1 species
UACGUAGGUGGCAAGCGUUGUCCGGAAUUAUUGGGCGUAAAGCGCGCGCAGGCGGUCCUUUAAGUCUGAUGUGAAAGCCCACGGCUCAACCGUGGAGGGUCAUUGGAAACUGGGGGACUUGAGUGCAGAAGAGGAAAGCGGAAUUCCACGUGUAGCGGUGAAAUGCGUAGAGAUGUGGAGGAACACCAGUGGCGAAGGCGGCUUCUGGUCUGUAACUGACGCUGGAGGCGCGAAAGCGUGGGGAGCAAACAGG